CGAACGGGUGAGUAACGCGUGGGGAACCUGCCUCAAAGAGGGGGACAACAGUUGGAAACGACUGCUAAUACCGCAUAAGCCCACGGCUCGGCAUCGAGCAGAGGGAAAAGGAGCAAUCCGCUUUGAGAUGGCCUCGCGUCCGAUUAGCUAGUUGGUGAGGUAACGGCCCACCAAGGCGACGAUCGGUAGCCGGACUGAGAGGUUGAACGGCCACAUUGGGACUGAGACACGGCCCAG
rnacentral:rRNA from 1 species